rnacentral:rRNA from 1 species
AUUGAACGCUGGCGGCAGGCCUAACACAUGCAAGUCGAACGAGUGGCGGACGGGUGAGUAAUGUCUGGGAAACUGCCUGAUGGAGGGGGAUAACUACUGGAAACGGUAGCUAAUACCGCAUACCAUCAGAUGUGCCCAGAUGGGAUUAGCUAGUUGGUGGGGUAAAGGCUCACCAAGGCGACGAUCCCUAGCUGGUCUGAGAGGAUGACCAGCCACACUGGGACUGAGACACGGUCCAGACUCCUACGGGAGGCAGCAGUGGGGAAUAUUGCGCAAGGGGCGCAAGCCUGAUGCAGCCAUGCCGCGUGUAUGAAGAAGGCCUUCGGGUUGUAAAGUACUUUUGGUAGGGAAGCGGUACCUACAGAAUAAGCACCGGCUAACUCCGUGCCAGCAGCCGCGGUAAUAC